AUGAAUUCCAAGCAUGAUAAACCAAAAAAUACUACUGCAAAGACACAUUGUAGAAAACCUACAGAACAUCACAGACAGAUAUAUAUAUAUAUAUAUCGUAUUUAUGUAUUUUUAAUGAUUUAUAUAUUAAUGGAGGAAAACAGAUAUGUGUGUAUAAAAUAACACUAUACAAGAGAGUGAUAUAUUAAUAAAAAAUAAAGCAAAAUAAAGGUAUACAGAAUGAUAGAGUCCACAAAUGCUAGUU
rnacentral:lncRNA from 1 species